GUGGGCCGGUCUUGAACAUUAAAUUAGUUGAACUUUAUUUUAUAGUUAAAUUCAUUAAUAAAUAUUAUAAACUCAUCAUGCUAUAUAUAUUUUAUACAUAUUUUUCAACUAGUAGUUAGAAAAUAUGUAUAGCAUGAUGUUUUUAAAAUGUAUAUUGAUGAAUAUUAACUAUAAAAUUGUCUUUUUGUGCAAUCUAACCAUACUGGUUCUCGCACUAAACAAAUUCAAAAACUAAUUAGUCUCAGGAUCGGAUAUUUAUUCCCAUUCCACAACUGCAAACAAGCCACAAAAAAAUAUUUAGAGGAAAACGGAAAAAUCAAAAUCAUGGAACUACACUGCAAUCUGAAGAAAGUUGAGAACUUAAGCAAAGAGUAAUAGUUGAAGAAUAAUAAGAAAGACAGAGUAACCAUUCACGAAACAAGUAGUGUGAAAUAAAUAAAUAAAUAUAGAAAUGUUUCUGGGUGGGUGUCCAUGAUUAAUAAGAAUGAAAGGGAAAAAGGAAAAGAAAAAGCGCUGAAGAAUGAACUAGUGUUGGAAUUGAAGGAGGAGGCUCAGAUUCGCCUUUUGUCAGACAAGAAAUGGGGGAAGGCAUGCAUGCAUGGCUGCAUCAACAGGCAGACAGACACUACAUUGAGUCACCUUGCCACAACACACACCUCUCAACCCCCAACUCAUAUGUCUGUUGCAAUUGAAGAGAUCAUCAUCACUGCCCCGCCGUCAUAAUAAGAAGAAGAAGAAGAAGAAGUACUAUAUAUAUAUAUAUGAUAUGAUUCCAAGUAGAAGAAGCAGAAGCACUUGCAAUAACACUAACAUGCAAUAACACUAAGGUUGAACGGAAAGAGAGAGAGAGACAGAAAGAGAAAAAGAGCAAGGAAAUUAUUGCAUGUGAAUUUUGUUUUUGUUGUUGUUUGUUGUUGCUAAUGUUUGUAGGCUGCGAAACGGAGAGAGGGGAAGUAAUAGUAAUCAUAGGCAUUGAGAAGUCAAGCCUCAUACUUAAACUAAUGAUAGGAGUCAAAGGAGGCUCAGGUUGGCAUUCACACUGAGAGGGGCAAUCCGACGAAUAAGAUGGCUGCGUCAACAGAAACAACGCCUCGCCACCAUGCUCGUCCUCACUCACCACUCAAUGCUCAAAUGCACAACACCAUCAUCAUUGCCUCAUUCUAUCAGAACAUAUCAUCAGAUCACAAUCAAAUCAAAAGGAGAUGUAUACCUGCACUGCGUUUACUCACUCGCCACGGCCCCAUAAGUCGCAGGACGCAGGGCACUUUUCAACCCUAAUUAGCUUCA
rnacentral:lncRNA from 1 species